UACGGGGGGAGCAAGCGUUGUUCGGAUUUACUGGGCGUAAAGGGCGCGUAGGCGGCCACCGCAAGUCGACUGUGAAAUCUCCGGGCUUAACCCGGAAAGGUCAGCCGAUACUGCGGGGCUAGAGUGCAGAAGGGGCAACUGGAAUUCUCGGUGUAGCGGUGAAAUGCGUAGAUAUCGAGAGGAACACCUGAGGUGAAGACGGGUUGCUGGGCCAACACUGACGCUGAUGCGCGAAAGCCAGGGGAGCAAACGGG
rnacentral:rRNA from 1 species